GAGUUUGAUCCUGGCUCAGAACGAACGCUGGCGGCAGGCUUAACACAUGCAAGUCGAACGCAUCCUUCGGGGUGAGUGGCAGACGGGUGAGUAACGCGUGGGAACGUACCCUUCAGUUCGGAAUAACCCAGGGAAACUUGGGCUAAGACCGGAUACGUCCGUAAGGAGAAAGAUUUAUCGCUGAAGGAUCGGCCCGCGUCGGAUUAGCUAGUUGGUGGGGUAACGGCCCACCAAGGCGACGAUCCGUAGCUGGUCUGAGAGGAUGAUCAGCCACACUGGGACUGAGACACGGCCCAGACUCCUACGGGAGGCAGCAGUGGGGAAUAUUGGACAAUGGGCGCAAGCCUGAUCCAGCCAUGCCGCGUGAGUGAAGAAGGCCCUAGGGUUGUAAAGCUCUUUCAGCGGGGACGAUAAUGACGGUACCCUUCGAGGAAGCCCCGGCAA
rnacentral:rRNA from 1 species